rnacentral:rRNA from 1 species
AUUGAACGCUGGCGGCAUGCCUUACACAUGCAAGUCGAACGGUAACGCGGGGCAACCUGGCGACGAGUGGCGAACGGGUGAGUAAUACAUCGGAACGUGCCCAGUAGUGGGGGAUAGCCCGGCGAAAGCCGGAUUAAUACCGCAUACGACCUACGGGUGAAAGCAGGGGAUCGCAAGACCUUGCGCUAUUGGAGCGGCCGAUGUCAGAUUAGGUUGUUGGUGGGGUAAAAGCCUACCAAGCCGACGAUCUGUAGCUGGUCUGAGAGGACGACCAGCCACACUGGGACUGAGACACGGCCCAGACUCCUACGGGAGGCAGCAGUGGGGAAUUUUGGACAAUGGGCGCAAGCCUGAUCCAGCCAUGCCGCGUGAGUGAAGAAGGCCUCGGUUGUAAG